rnacentral:SRP_RNA from 1 species
CGUUUGUCACCUUGCAAUAAAUAACAGUGAACUCGGUCAGGCCCGGAAGGGAGCAGCCGCAGCUGUGAUUUUAUGUGUGAGGAACGGCUGGCGGGA